CCUUCAUUUUUUCGGCAAAUAAACGGUCCAAGUUUGGUCCAAAAUGGAUAUCUCUAGUUGUUUGCAUUUGAUUGAGUGAGUGAGUUUUUUAUUUUGUAUUUAUUCCAUUGCCAUUUAGCAUCACAAAAGGGACGAGUUUUACUUAACUUUGGCGCCUUACGACUCAAAUCUCAAGCUCAAUAGCUUAUAGUGAAAAUAGAAGAAGUAGCUCCAUUUUGUAAGAGUUUAAUUAUUAUUUUUUUGAUAGUUAAUAAGAAUUUUAUUACCAAGCAUAGGCACAACCCAAGUACAUAGGAAGUAUACAAAGGAAAUACGUACUACACAAUAGAAAGCAGGAAACUACGAAAGAAAUAGAUUUAGUACAUUAUCAUCAAACCUUACAAAGAUCCUAGCCCACAAACUCAAAGAAGAAAAGAAAAAAUAGCGAAGAUCUUCAAAAGAAUGUUGUUUAUCUUCAAAGCAUAUUCCAUUUCUUUCUAGCCAAAUACACCACAUUAGGCAUAAUGGAAUCAUUCUCCAUCUAGCAGCAACACUUUUCCUUGCCUCAAAAACACAUCAACAAGCAAGGAGAUUCACAACUUCCUUGGAAGAGUUUAAUUAUAAGUUGCUAGGGUGAAAUAAGGCAAGUGUUGAUCUAAUUAUAGGUUGCUUACAUCACAAACCCCCUUUCAUAGGUGUCUCUGAUCUUCCCUCUUGCAUAUGUGAAUGUGUUAGUAUUGUCCAACCCUUAGGCCUCGUUUGUUUUUGAAGAUGAGAUUUUUUUAGAUUUCUGUGAAUGGUAUUGAGAUAUUUGAGUUGAGAUGAGAUAACAUGAUUUCUAAAAUAUGAGUGUUUGUUUAUAGAGUUGAGAUAAUUUUUGGGAUCACUAAAAGAAAAACCACCUAUUGCGGCGAUUUUUAUAUUGUUGCAAAAACAAUCGCCACAAUAGGUCACUUUUUGCAACGAUUUUAGAAUUGUCGCCGCGUUUUUACAUUGACAGUCAAUUAAAAGUGGGUGGUCCCCUAAUUUUUGCAUUUGCAGUGGAUAAUAGUGUUGUUGCAGCAAAAUCUUUCGCUGGGAGAAGUAAAAACCUGUUGCAACACAAAGAAUUGUCGGGAUUAGGUUUCGGGUGCCAAAAUCGCACGAAAUGUUUGAUAUUUCCCUGAGUUAUUUCCUUCUCCACUUCUAUCCGUUCUUCCCCAUUCUUGAGUACCUAGUUCCUAUUACCUGCUUACUCCACCCACCCCCGAACGAUUUCAUCUCCAUUUUCGAUCACGUCCCAAAACUUUCUCCUCCACCCCAUUUUCCUCCCAUGGAAGCUAUGGUCGAACUUGUCUCCUCCCCAUACUAUGCCGUGCGAUUCGUCCUUUGGGCAGUUGGAUUUUUUCAUAGAUUUCUCAGUAUCAGAGGUCGGUAUUUGUUAUUUGAGACUCUUGGGUACCUUCCAUCACCACAGGUGGGGGGAAAAAGGACGGUGUUGCAUUCAAGUGGGGUAAAAAGUGAUCGCCCCCAAAUAAGAGAGUUGGUCCCUGAGCAUAGAGGCUUCACUCACAUUCAUCCCUAUCAAGGUAAUGAGAUGGGAGAAAGUUCCCGAGGAAGAGGGGCUGGACGAGGUAUUCGUGCCAGACGAUUUGUACCGUACUCAUGUAGAGCUCGCCGACCACCAGGAAUUUGUAUUGCUUCAUACCACAGUCCUUCAGAUGUGGAUCAGUCAGGCUCGGAUGACUCAACACAGCCUCCCAGUCAUCCAUGGGAGCCUCCAUGUCCCAUUCCAAUGCCCCCACCUGAUCCCAAUAGAGAACCAUCACUCGCAAGAGAACUCGAACCUAACGGAGAAGAAAUUGAUGUGACAGCCCCCGCGGUGCCUGUAGCAAACCAGGAACAACCCAAACGUAGACGUGGGCCUGCUAAGUGCAUUGAGUUUGAGAAGUUGAGGAAGCAUGGAAAAGUGCUUUUGAAGAUUAAUGAUGGCGAAACAGCACCGUGUUGUGAGAACGCAUCCAUGUUCACAGCACGGGUAACGCAAAUAGUAAAACGGCAUUGCGACAUGAGUUAUGCAAGAUGGACAAAUGUGCCGUAGGCACAAAAGGACGAGCUAAUCUACUGUGUUCGGAUUGGGAUCUGGAGAAUCACAGAUUGACAGUCUUGAAGCAGCUGCGUAAGCGGUUCAAUGCAUUCCAUCACGAAUUACACAAAAAAUAUUUAUCAUACGAAAGUCACGAAGAAGCAUUGGCUUCUGGGAGUUGUAUGGUCGAUCCCGUUGUCUGGGUUAAGCUGUGUGGGAGGUGGGGAAGCGAUGACUUCAAGAAAAUCUCGAGACAAAAUCGGGAGAAUAGAAAGAGGCUAACCAUUAACCACACAGCAGGCCGCAAAUCCUUUGUUAGAUACUGGAGGAGAAGACUCAUGUUUCUGAUUGAACAUCUACCUAUACAAAUUCCACACACUUGUGGCGGACUAUGAAUGCGAAUUUGGUGGAGUUCUAUAAGGAGACUCGUUGGUCAAAGAAGAAUAGUAAAUUUGUCACCUCAGCCUCUGAAGACACUUAUAAGGAGAUGGUUGGCAAGCUGAAUGAUCUAGAACCUGAACAACGUACUGAUGAGGCAGCAGCGAGUGUAUUUAGGAAGGUACUUGGUCAUAGACCAGGAUAUGCAAGGGGGCUAGGAGAGAUGGCCAUCCCAGAGUCGACAAGACAACGGAAUCGUGAAAGAGAAAAAGAGUACCUUGCCUUAAUUGAAAAACACAAAAAAGAUGCCGACAAUUACAAGACGCAGCUUGAUGAAAUGAGGGAUGAAAUGCGAGUACUUCGUGAGAGGCAAAAUGAAAUUGAUAAGAUGUUGAAGACAUUCUUCUACAAGUUCCCGUCUUUCACUGAGUCUCUCCGUGGAGACACUCAGUGAGCUACCUUCAGAAAUCAUGGGAAGGGCUUUUUUGUGAAUCGGUGGGCACUUUUUGGUAGUGGGAGAUGGUGGGUGGCUAAGAUAUAAAUAUAUUUUCACACACACGUAUAUAUAUAUUUAUACGAAGAAGAAGGUUGUCUACUUUUGUAUUGUGGGAGACCUUGGGCAGUUGAGGGAUUUUUUGGGCUUGACUGUAUGAAAGUUUGGUUAUAUCCUGAUGAGUUCUUCCAAUUAUCUAGACAGCCAUUGGGUAAGUAUCUGAUUGGCAUGGGCUUAAAAGAAUUGCAACACCUUGAACAGCAAUUAAGUGAAGGAUUAUUGUCAGUGCAGGAGAUGAAGGUUCUAUAGAAGUUAUGUUUUCCUUUGAUUCCUUAUCCUAGAUUUUAUUUUACACAUUAAUUUUUUUUCAAAUAUCAUAUUUUGUGAUUAUAAUUAAUAUUUAAUUUUCUGAGAAUAGGACAAGCCUUAACAAACCGUUCAAUCAAUUUAGGAUCAAUUAUUGGAGCAGCUGGACCGCAAUCUAGAAUGCAGGCUUGGACAUACAUUCUGCUAGCAUAUGAGAUGAGAUGUCACAUUAGGGUUAAUUCAUUUUUUGUUUAUAACAAAACUUGAAGGAAGAGUUACACAAUGUAGAAAGUGUAAUCUAUAGCUUUGACACUCUUUUGCUUGAUCUUCUCAGUGGAAAACAUAUACCUCCAAGUCAUUGUAGAGCAAAGGUUGAAAUUGUACGAUAAGAUGGAGAGGGAUUUGGAUGAGAAGGGGGCGGCUUUUCUUAAACAUGGUGAAACAUCUCAGUCCUUGUCACUUUCGGAUAUUUUCACUUUGAAGGAUGGAUCUGUAACACCUGUACUUAAAGCAGCAAACCCUCCCGUUCGGGCUAAUGUUUUGUAUCUGAGCACAAAAUACUCGUUGCCCAUCUCUUAUAGAGAUAGAAUGCUUCUCGGCCCAGCAGUUCUUAAAGCAGAAUCCAACAGCUAAUAAGGGAGCCAGCAUACUGUUGAUCAACAUCUUCACCUGUCAUCCUUUUUUGGUUAGUUAUAGAAAGGGUUUGACCACCUUCCAAUCUACUAUUAAUUAGGAGUUGCAUCUUUCAGGGAAAAAUCAUCAUAACUGAAUGGAUUUAUAGACUAAUUACGAAAUUUUUCAUUUGUGUAAGCUAACAUUGGUACCUGUUGGUUGGUGAUGAAAAGUAGGGUAUGUUACCUUAAGUUUGAUUGGCGGUGACAGUCCCAUUAAUGAUUAGUUUGAGAUUAGUUGAAUUUAGUUCAACAAUCAAACACAAUAAAUUUAAGGGUUCUCUAUACACUUGAGGCUUAGUCGUUUGGUUUUGUUUUUUUAUAAGCCCCAACAUGUAAAAUAAUUCACGUUUGCUUACAUGCUUAUGCUUCCGUCGUUGACAUUACGUUGGUUUAAACGUAAUAUUACAAUGUUUUUAUUUUUUAUUUUUA